rnacentral:rRNA from 1 species
ACAUGCAGUCGACGGCAGCACGGACUUCGGUCUGGUGGCGAGUGGCGAACGGGUGAGUAAUGUAUCGGAACGUGCCCAGUAGCGGGGGAUAACUACGCGAAAGCGUAGCUAAUACCGCAUACGCCCUACGGGGGAAAGCAGGGGAUCGCAAGACCUUGCACUAUUGGAGCGGCCGAUAUCGGAUUAGCUAGUUGGUGGGGUAACGGCUCACCAAGGCGACGAUCCGUAGCUGGUUUGAGAGGACGACCAGCCACACUGGGACUGAGACACGGCCCAGACUCCUACGGGAGGCAGCAGUGGGGAAUUUUGGACAAUGGGGGCAACCCUGAUCCAGCCAUCCCGCGUGUGCGAUGAAGGCCUUCGGGUUGUAAAGCACUUUUGGCAGGAAAGAAACGUCGCGGGUUAAUACCCCGCGAAACUGACGGUACCUGCAGAAUAAGCACCGGCUAACUACGUGCCAGCAGCCGCGGUAAUACGUAGGGUGCAAGCGUUAAUCGGAAUUACUGGGCGUAAAGCGUGCGCAGGCGGUUCGGAAAGAAAGAUGUGAAAUCCCAGAGCUUAACUUUGGAACUGCAUUUUUAACUACCGGGCUAGAGUGUGUCAGAGGGAGGUGGAAUUCCGCGUGUAGCAGUGAAAUGCGUAGAUAUGCGGAGGAACACCGAUGGCGAAGGCAGCCUCCUGGGAUAACACUGACGCUCAUGCACGAAAGCGUGGGGAGCAAACAGGAUUAGAACCU